rnacentral:sRNA from 1 species
GCUCCGUGAUAAUUCUUUAGGGAAGUCAGUGCUUUGCUGAUUGUUGACUCUCUCAAGAGCCUAACGGUUAAUCAUGCCUUUUGAAGUACUUUGUUGUUUUGUUUGAUUCUAUUUUUUUCCUCCUUUUCAUGUUUUUGUUAUAAGAGCUGGAAAAUGUGCUGAGGAAAUGCAUCUGUAGAAUGUAUUUAAGCACUUGAAAUGAACGUUUUAUUUAUAGAGCAAAUUUAGUUCAUGCCUUAAGCAUUUUAAUCUGAAAGUUCUAUCCCAAAGUGUUCGUUUACUGGCAUUAUUGACAAGGGGUGUUUUGGUUGAAGGAGUGUUUUAGAAUGUUUGUUUUAUUAACUAAAAUCUAAUUAAGUACUCUUAAAUUUUUUUGUUUACAGAAAAGUCUUUUAAGUUAUGUGUCACCAAGGAGAUGCUCCUUCUUAGUAUUACAACUGCUUAUACAGGUCUGGAAUUAACUUUCUUCUCUGGUGUAUAUGGAACCUGUAUUGGUGCUAUAAAUAAAUUUGGAGCAGAAGAGAAAAGCCUUAUUGGACUUUCUGGCAUUUUCAUCGGCAUUGGAGAAAUUUUAGGUGGAAGCCUCUUCGGCCUGCUGAGCAAGAACAAUCGUUUUGGUAGAAAUCCAGUUGUGCUGUUGGGCAUCCUGGUGCACUUCAUAGCUUUUUAUCUAAUAUUUCUCAACAUGCCUGGAGAUGCCCCGAUUGCUCCUGUUAAAGGAACUGACAGCAGUGCUUACAUCAAAUCCAGCAAAGAAGUUGCCAUUCUCUGCAGUUUUCUGUUGGGCCUUGGAGACAGCUGCUUUAAUACCCAGCUGCUUAGUAUCUUGGGCUUUCUGUAUUCUGAAGACAGCGCCCCAGCAUUUGCCAUAUUCAAGUUUGUUCAGUCUAUUUGCGCAGCCGUGGCAUUUUUCUACAGCAACUACCUUCUCCUUCACUGGCAACUCCUGGUCAUGGUGAUAUUU